CCUGGUAAAUAUAGCGUAAUGGUAACACCUGAAUCCAUAUCGAACUCAGAAGUGAAAUAUUACAACGCCGAUGGUAGUACAAGGUUUCCUUGUGCAAGAGUAGGAAAUUACCAGGA
rnacentral:rRNA from 1 species